CUUGAGAUUUUCCCCAAGGUGCUUUUUCCCUCCUUGGUCACUUAUACCCUCAGCUAAACCAAAAAAAAAAAAACAAACAAAAAACUGGCAUCUUGAUGCCAGCUCAGGCCUUCAGGUGUUUUUUUAAGUCACUUUAAUUUAGCACCCUGCCCAUAGUACCAUUUCUUCCUCCCAGUUGCGUUCUCCUCCAUCUCAGUCUCCCUGCUUUGCAGUGCCAGAUUCUCUACAAUUUCCCACCUUGUACCCAGACUGCAAUAUGUGAUCCUAAUCCUAAUUUUUUUUAUUGUUGACAGGAUGAAAACUUUGAUCUGUCAAAAAGACUGAGUGAGAAUAAAAUUAUAUGUAAUGCUCUGCAGAGAGAGAAAGAGAGAUUGGAAGGAGAAAAUGAUGUAAGUGUGUGAAAGAGGGUAGAAAACCCCAAGGUUUUAAGGGGAAGGAGCAGGGCGGCCCAGAGAUGUAGUGAUAAAAA
rnacentral:sRNA from 1 species